GAGGGGUGCAAACGUUAUUCGGAAUCAUUGGGCGUAAAGGGUGCGUAGGUGGUAUAUUAAGUCAACUGUUAAAUUUCUCGGCCUAACCGAGAGCCUGCAGUAGAUACUGAUAUACUAGAGGGUGGAAGAGAGAAGUGGAAUUCUCGGAGUAGCGGUAAAAUGCGUAGAUCUCGAGAGGAACACCAAUGGCGAAGGCAGCUUCUUGGUCCAUACCUGACACUGAGGCACGAAAGCGUGGGGAGCAAACAGGGAUUAGAUACCCUGGUAGUCCACGCCGUAAACGAUGAUCACUAGACGUUAGUUCCGUUUUACGGGAUUAGUGUCGUAGCUAACGCGAUAAGUGAUCCGCCUGGGGACUACGGUCGCAAGACUA
rnacentral:rRNA from 1 species